CUGCUCACUUCAGCAGUACAAAUGCUAAAAAUUGGAGCAAUACAGAGAAGAUUAGCAUGCCCCCCCACACAAAGAUGACAUGCAAAUUUAUCAAGGAUUCCAUAAUUUU
ensembl:snRNA U6 U6 spliceosomal RNA